rnacentral:misc_RNA from 1 species
GCAUAAACAGAAAAAAGAACAUAUUGCCAUUUCUCAACUUCAAAUUGACAGUAUAUGGAUAAAACAGAAGGCAUAGCAAAUGCAAAAGCAGCUUCUCUGAGAUGGGGAAUCCUUCGUCAAGCUCUCCUUCGUCGUCCUCCUACCCAAAAUUCAGGUAUUUUCUUCCAUCUCUUACAGCAAUCGAAUUGCUUAAAUCUAAUUAGCUGCCGAUAACUGUUAAAUGUAUCUAGCGGAUGAGCAAUCUUUAAAUGCCACCAAGCGCAUUUCCAGGAAGGCCAGUCACGGCUUCAACUUGAUUCCUAGCCAUCUAGUUGAUAAAGAUCCAAAUUCUAGAGAUGCCUGUGUAUGCUACACGUUACCCAUUAAUGGGUCUCCCAAACUUUUUCUUAACCAAAGGAUGGACAGGCGUGUUGAUCUCAGUGACCUUGAGGUCUCUAAUAGAUACAAUGUUGACAACACUGGGCUUGUCUGUAAGUUCUCCUUCUCAUCUAUUGAGUUUGUUUCGAAAGCCAAGAUUAGGACUUUGAUCAUAUAGAAAGUGUCUUUUAGAAUUAUAUGUUUGGUAAUCAUUUACUGACUGAAUUAAAAUUGAGAUAUCUCUGGCCUUUUGUAGGAAAGUUUCUAGUGAGAAGUUAAGUCUUGCAUUUCUUUUUAAUGUGAUUUAAAGUUCUAUACCCUUUUUUUUUAUUGAUGUAGCUUUAAGGAAAUGAUUAGUCACAAUAAUGUUUAAUUAUUUUCCUACCACGUUUUCAUUUUGUGGAGUCUUUCUCACCAUGAAUUUUGUCUCGGUUAUAAAACUAAAUAAAACAAGGAGGGAAAAGGGGGCAGAAUGUGGAGAGUUGUAAGGAUCAAGCGCAAGACAUGGUUUCACCCACGAUAACCUAAGUAUUGUUUUCUGUUUACUUUCUUUUGUUUUACCUGGACAAAAGUGUGAAGGAAGCAGUUUGCAUUAUUUGCAGAGAACUAAGUUUUGAGGGAAGGGGAUAGUGGUGUGUUAUGCAUUCAUGUUUCAGCUUGGAAUAGUUGAGCGGAUUCUGACUUUUGAGACCAUAUUGAUAAUUAUGGUUUUUAAUUUAUCAAAUCAAAUUUGAACAUGGAAAUCAAACUGAACCAAACCAAAUCAAAAUAUCAUUCUUUUGUUUGGUUUUUGAAAUGGUUUGAGCCAAAUAAAUCCUUUUUUAAGUUCUUCCUUAACUACUAGGCUUAUUAGAUAGCCAACUAAAGUUAGCAAAAAGUUACUUCCUUACAUGUAAUAAAGGAUUUAAAUAUUAUAAAAAUAAAGU